rnacentral:lncRNA from 1 species
AUUCAAGCGCGAGGAAGCCAAGAUCCAAGCAUGGGAAAACCAUGAGAAAGCCAAGGCUGAAGCUGAAAUGCGCAGAGUGGAGGUUCGUCCCUUGUCUCCUUGAUUGCGUAUUUCUUUUUCAUGGUUCAGGUUAUGCCAAGGUUGCUCCUAUAUAAACUCUGAUAAUGCUGUCAGAAACUAAUGAAAUUCUGGAUCAUUCUGACAAGGCUAUAGUUAUAGCUAUCAUCACACUUAGCUCUGGUUAGCAGAAAGCAUGUCUCAAUAUAAUAUAUAUAAUAUAUAUAAUAUAUAUAAUAUAUAUAAUAUAUAUAUAAUAUAUAUAUACUACCAUUUUUUUCUCAGUCGUCGCUACAGAGACGUAUCUGCCAUACAAAAGACCCUCUUCACAUUCUUCGAAAAUCGGGCAGCUAUGUUGUUACCUUUUCGUGCAGACAAUUCGUAGGGUCGGUGAGAGGAUCGAGCCUGCAACCGUGCAGCAUCGUGACUGUAAAUAGUUGUGAAUCAUAAUUAAAGUAGUAAGUUAUAUCUUGUAAUAAUCCCAUGGGAAAUAAAUCUGACGGUCAAUAUCACACAUAGUUCCUAAUUUCUUGAGAAUUUCAAAGGAGGCCCAGUGUAGACGUCAGUGUAUUAGUUCAUACUCUCUUCAAACCCAGUGGUUUCGAGUUGCUCGUACAUCAGUCAUCAUCAGUAGCGCCAAGCCCUGUGAAUGGAAUGAAGGCCAUCCUGCACUUAACCUUCAUUCAUUACAUUAGCAGACUGAGAGUGGCACUACUGUCAGUCAAUAUCUUUGUCAGUUUCAGAGAAUCCUCUAUCUUGUCCUGUUGAAGUAUUCUAUCCAUGUUUGCAAAAUAUAUAAGCGUAUAUGAUUUAUACUACAGCCUUACACCUUUCAGGUGCCCCGGGUUUCAGGAUGCAAAACGUAGAUUGAACAUCGGUUGACUGUACUGAUUGGAUGAGAAAUCUCACCAGGUGAAGGUGGAGCGAAUGAGGUCGCAUGCAAAUGAAAAACUGAUGAACAAACUAGCAGCUGCCAGACGACGUGCAGAGGAGCUUCGUGCAAAGGCUGAGGCCCUUCGGUGUGAGCAAGCAGCCAAGACAGCUACUCGGUCUGAGGACAUUCGCCGCACGGGGAAAGUCCCAACGUCUUUCUUUGGCCACCUCUGUGGGUGAGAUCCCAGCCGCUGCCAGAUUACGUAGCCUAGCAGCAGCUCCAAAGGUCACCAC